UCCCUGGCCCAGCGCGCAGCCAAUCCCCGGCCGCCGCUCCGGCCCCCUUGUCCAAUGGCCGUGCUCGCUCCGCCCCGUUUGUGGACACGCCCUCUAUGUCAUCCUUUAGCCAAUCACUGUGCACGGUUCUCACACCGGCUUUCCCGGUUGGACCACGGCCUCACCGACAUGGCCCCAGCUAAUUGGUAGCGCCUGAAUCAGCGCGUUAGGUAAGGACUCGGAUAAAAUGGCCCUCCUCACCCGGGACUACAACUCCCACAAUACACUUCACUAGAGUCUCUCGGCCGACGCUCUUGGGAGAUGUAGUCCAGAACAGCGCAAGCGAACCAGCAGCAGGUGGCUGGGAAAGUGAGGAGUUGGGUUAGAUACUCAAGGAAUGGAUGGAUUCACGGCUCUCUUUUGCGUUUGAACCAGAACAAGUGUCAUGGAACAGAUAUCACACGGUUAAGAACUGAUCCACUAGCCACUUGGUGAAUGUGCCCACAGCUCUGGAACACCUCUUCAAACACUUGUCCUCAUUCUUCUCUAGGGAAGUAUUGCAAUGCUCUCUUCUUCCUUGGCCAGAGAUGGGAUCAGACGAUUGUGUGGAGACAGAGAUUUAGGUUAUGCAUGUUUGGUAAGAACACCAUGGAAGUGACAUUGAAUUCUUCUCAGUGCAUCAAAACAAAAGGGAAGUGCUGCUG